GUACUUCACAUGUGCCGAAUACAUUAAAAACAAUAGAUAAUGAGGCAUUUCAGGUCAUUAUCUAUUGUCUUUAAUGUUUCGGCACAUGUGAAGUAC